rnacentral:rRNA from 1 species
GACGAACGCUGGCGGCGUGCUUAACACAUGCAAGUCGAACGGAAAGGCCCUGCUUUGGUGGGGUGCUCGAGUGGCGAACGGGUGAGUAACACGGGAGUAACCUGCCCUGUACUGUGGGAUAACGUCAGGAAACUGGGGCUAAUACCGGAUAGGAGCUGCUGCUGCAGGGGGGGGGUUGGACAGUUUCGGCGGUUGGGGAUGGACUCGCGGCUUAUCAGCUUGUUGGUGGGGUAGUGGCUUACGAAGGCUUUGACGGGUAGCCGGCAUGGGAGGGUGACCGGGCCCAUUGGGACUGAGAGACGGACCAGACUCCUACGGGAGGCAGCAGUGGGGAAUAUUGCACAAUGGGCGCACGCCUGAUGCAGCAGCGCCGCGUGCGGGAUGACGGCCUUCGCGUUGUAAACCGCUUUCGCCUGUGACGAAGCGUGAGUGACGGUAAUGGGUAAAGAAGCACCGGCUAACUACGUG